rnacentral:miRNA from 1 species
CUGAUUUCUUUCAUAAGGAGGA